rnacentral:rRNA from 1 species
UACGUAGGGUGCAAGCGUUAAUCGGAAUUACUGGGCGUAAAGCGUGCGCAGGCGGUGAUGUAAGACAGUUGUGAAAUCCCUGGGCUCAACCUGGGAACUGCAUCUGUGACUGCAUCGCUGGAGUGCGGCAGAGGGGGAUGGAAUUCCGCGUGUAGCAGUGAAAUGCGUAGAUAUGCGGAGGAACACCGAUGGCGAAGGCAAUCCCCUGGGCCUGCACUGACGCUCAUGCACGAAAGCGUGGGGAGCAAACAGG